UCAUUCCGCUCCAUCCCGUCCGCUCCCCCUCCCUGCGUCCCCGCCGCGCCGCCACCACUCCCUCCCUGCGUCACCACCGCGGCGCCUCCCGACGACCCCUCCCUGCGUCGCCGCCUCCAACCUCCCGUCGAUCCCCUUCCUCCCCACCCUCUCGCCGCUAAAACAGAUCUGCUGGGAGGCUGCUGCCGCUGCCGCCGGGAUGGCGACGCACACUUCACGCCGUCGCAUGCGCACGAGGCGUCUCACCACCACUUGGCGUCCGCCGGCUGAGGCGGCGAAGGCCACCGCGUGCCUGCACGCUUCCGCGCCGCCGGCCACUGCGGUCGGCGCUGUGCCCGCCACACCUCUCGCGGCGGCGUCCCCAGCAUCCUCCUUCGCGGCGUGCCCGCCCACCCACAACCGAAUCUCCAUCGGCCCCGGCGCGUCGAUGGCCGCGGACGCGCUCUCCAUCAUCCCAGGUGCCGUGCUGCGGAACCUCUCCGACAAGCUGUACGAGAAGCGGAAGAACGCUGCGCUCGAGGUGAGAUUGAGGGGAUCGUGAAGCAGCUCCCAAUGGCUAGCGAGCAUGAGAAGAUAUCAGCGGUCAAAUCGCUGCUACCAACGAUUUCACCUACUCGCUGCGAACCAUCGGAAGGUUUGCAUAGACCACUGUGGUUCAUGCUUCCGGUGUUGACGGGGUCAGAUUUGUUGAGUUCUCUGUCGCUUUGAUGUUAGCAGGGUGGGUUGAUUGGCCUUGCAGCAGUUACUGUCGGACACGCGCAAAGAGAUGGCCUGUCAAGAGGAGGAGGAGGGUAUAUUUACCAAUGGAUCAUAAUCAUGCGGUGGAUAUCAGUCACCUGGAAUUAAUCAUUUUCUCCAGGGUUCUGAUAUAUAACACCUCCCAAAUAUAAGCAGGUGUGUUUGUUUCAUGGAGCAUCAGUAUGUAGUAGAGAAGAGUUCUUCAUCUAAAAUUGCUAUAUUCUUUAAGUGGUAAGUGGUAAUUGAGGGCUUGGAUUGGAUAUAAGUGGUAGUUGUCACAGUCUAGAUACCAGAGCUUCUUGAGAGUGCACGGGUACAGAUGUUGUGUAUAGUGCUUGAGGACAGGUUUUACAUGACAUGUAUUUUUCUAAAUACCAGUUCACCUGCCGUUUCACUAACGCAAGGAAAUCACACAAGCAUUCCGGUUUUCUAAGUUUAAGCUGCCCAGUGACCAUGAGUUUAAAAACUAAGGAGGGGACUUUCCUCUGUUUUAACUCCUUCAUUAGCGAAUGAUAGAUCUGCAGUUGAGAUGCAAACCUGAUUCCAAGGUAGAGGGGGCAAGUUAUAUUUGUUUAUUAUUUUUGUUAUCUAUGGUUGAGAUGCAAACCUGAUUCUAAGGUAAGGGGGUAAGAUAUAUUUGUUUACUGUUUUUGUUUAUAUGAUAGUAGAAUGCAUGUUUUUGUCCAAUGUUUAGUUGGUCGGUGUGUAUCUUGUAUCAAAGUAAUAUCAAUUUUUAUGCCCGUAGCAACAAACGGUCACGUACUAGUACUUACUACUUAAAAAAAGUAAAAUUGGGAUUUUUUUUCGUACGUCGCCCUCCGCUCCGCUUCGUGGCCCUCCAUCCUCUCCCGUGUCCUCUCCUCACUCACCCGUCCUUCCACCUCGCGUGACCUGCUCCGCCUUCUUCCGCGCUCCGCUCCGUCUGAUCCCGCAAAUUCCUCCAAGCUGUCCCUAAGCCUCGCGCGCCCUGCGCCGCCGCCCUGCGCUCUCCUCUUCUCCAUGCUCUCCCUGCGUCGCCGCCGUCGCUCUCCUCUCCUCGCUCGCUCGGCGUCGCUGGCCUCCGAGCCGUCCCUCUGCCUCGCGCGUCCUGCGCCGUCGCCCUACGCUCUCCUCCUCUCCUCACUCUCCUUGCGCCGCCGCUGCCGCGCACUCUCCUCGCUUGCCCAGCGCCGCCGCCGCUCUCCUCCUCUCCUCGCUCGCCCGGCGCUGCUGCCCUCCGAGUCAUCUCUCCGCCUCGCGCGCCCUGCUCCUCUCCCCGCGCCGCCGCCCGCCUCAUCCCCGUGGAUUCGUUGCCCUUCUCUUUUCGUUCUUCCUGUGCCGUAUCCUCACUGUUUCUUGGUUUCCUGAGCAGAUCAUCCGCAAGGGAUUUUACCGGACCAAGAAUGUGGAGCACAAGGGCCAGGUGGAUUUGGUGACGGACAAGGUCUGCGAGGACCUCAUCUUCAACCACCUCAACUGGCAGCGGCACACAGGCUCGGGGUCGACGUUGCGUGGGUGCGUGGUGACCGCGCCUGCAGCACGCGUUCCCCCGGGCAGCGGUCGUGGCUCUAAGCCUCGUCUACGGCGUGGAAUGACGAGGGCGGAAGGGUGGGUAGUGGGCAGCUCACCGGCGAAUAUAGACUCCAUGAGAGAUGGCACCGAUGCGUCACUAUAGGCACGGACGAUGCCCAAGAUGCACCGCCCAAGGUAUUUAGCUGUGCACUCGCUUCGGCUUUGAAGAACGGCAAAUAUGAGGUUGCACAAUCUUUGAAAUCCUCCAUUGUCCUAUUCUAAUUAGCCUCAACCAUACACGUCACAUGCAUCGUUGCUUGCACAUGACAUUAUACCUUAGGAUCUUAUCAGAGUGAACUACAUUGAAAGGCAUAUGUAA